rnacentral:rRNA from 1 species
AUUGAACGCUGGCGGCAGGCUUAACACAUGCAAGUCGAGCGGGGGAAGGUAGCUUGCUACCGGACCUAGCGGCGGACGGGUGAGUAAUGCUUAGGAAUCUGCCUAUUAGUGGGGGACAACAUCUCGAAGGGGAUGCUAAUACCGCAUACGUCCUACGGGAGAGAGCAGGGGAUCACUUGUGACCUUGCGCUAAUAGAUGAGCCUAAGUCGGAUUAGCUAGUUGGUGGGGUAAAGGCCUACCAAGGCGACGAUCUGUAGCGGGUCUGAGAGGAUGAUCCGCCACACUGGGACUGAGACACGGCCCAGACUCCUACGGGAGGCAGCAGUGGGGAAUAUUGGACAAUGGGGGGAACCCUGAUCCAGUCAUGCCGCGUGUGUGAAGAAGGCCUUAUGGUUGUAAAGCACUUUAAGCGAGGAGGAGGCUCUUUUGGUUAAUACCCAAGAUGAGUGGACGUUACUCGCAGAAUAAGCACCGGCUAACUCUGUGCCAGCCGCCGCAGUAA